AGGACGAACGCUGGCGGCGUGCUUAACACAUGCAAGUCGAGCGGAAAGGCCAUUUCGGUGGUACUCGAGCGGCGAACGGGUGAGUAACACGUGAGUAAUCUGCCCCUGGCUUUGGGAUAGCCACCGGAAACGGUGAUUAAUACCGGAUACGACCCGCCCUCGCAUGGGGGUGUGUGGAAAGUUUUUCGGCCAGGGAUGUGCUCGCGGCCUAUCAGCUUGAUGGUGGGGUAAUGGCUCACCAUGGCUUCGACGGGUAGCCGGCCUGAGAGGGUGACCGGUCACACUGGGACUGAGACACGGCCCAGACUCCUACGGGAGGCAGCAGUGGGGAAUAUUGGACAAUGGGCGGAAGCCUGAUCCAGCAACGCCGCGUGAGGGAUGACGGCCUUGGGUUGUAAGUCCUCUUCACGUACGACGAAGACGAAGUGACGGUAGGUACAGAAGAAGCACCGACAACUACGUGCCAGCAGCCGACGAUAACU
rnacentral:rRNA from 1 species